UACGUAGGCAGCAAGCGUUGUUCGGAGUUACUGGGCGUAAAGGGUGUGUAGGCGGUUGCUUAAGUUUGCUGUGAAAUCUCCCGGCUUAACCGGGAGGGUGCGGUGAAUACUGAGGGACUAGAGUACGGGAGAGGAAAGUGGAAUUCCUGGUGUAGCGGUGAAAUGCGUAGAUAUCAGGAGGAACACCGGUGGUGUAGACGGCUUUCUGGACCGUAACUGACGCUGAGACACGAAAGCGUGGGUAGCAAACAGG
rnacentral:rRNA from 1 species